GAAACAUACCUCAUGGGAUGAGCGCACUCCGAGGACCCCUGGGCCUGAGCAGGAACAAGAUGUGAGAGGGGGUGAGCAUAGGGAAAUCAGACCCUUGUAGAUGACAUUUUGGUGGCUUCAGAACCAAUUACCAGGUUUCCAUAGAGUUCUGGUUUCAACAUACGAUGGUUUCAACAUACAAUGGUCGUCCUGGAACAAAUUAAUAUUGUAACUUGAGGGACCACUGUAUAAGGACACACCAAGUCCACCUACAGGUGCUGCUGCCUAACACUUCUGGUGCUGCAAUAUCCACCAUCAA